GCUUAGUUGAGAGUAGUAGUGUCAAUUUAGCCCAAACCUUAGGGCUAGCCCUCAACCCUACAAAAUAAUUCUAGCCCACGUCCCCAAAAAUUACAAAAUCAUAUUUUAUAAGCCCAGUCUUAAUUAAGCCCUCCCAACAAAAAUCAAAAUAGGGCUGGCCCUACAAGCCCUAAAAGCCCCAAAUAUGAUCUCCUCCUCCCUGACCCAAGAACAAGAUGCUGAAAUGGUGAUGCUGAAGACGUGAAACAGCGCCGUGCUCUUCCUCCUUCUCCUUUGCAUUCUACUUCUGCGUUCUGCUCCACCUAUGACGGUGGCUGACUUCUACACUUUGCUCCUCCUAUGACGGUGGUUGUACCCAGUGGACGACGCGGUGGUUGCUCCUCCUCCCUAACGCGGUGCUCAUCCUUCUUGAUGCAGUGGACGAAAUUAGUGGCUGCUUCUCCUCCCUCACGCAGAUUCAGAGUGUUAAUGUAUCUGGCCAUCGCAAUUUGAGGAAUUUGUUUGGAGGUGUGGUUGCCUUACAGGGAGCACAAAGAAACCUUCUGAGGACUUGUACCAGUCGCCUUAAUCCAAUUUUGGUAACUAUUAUUCCCUUUUUGUGAAUUUUUUGUCAUAUUGCUAUUAACUUAAAAUGUAGAGCAAUCUCAUUUUUGUCUUUUCUUUAUUUGUAAGUAAUCUCAGCUUUGUGGCGUUUUCAAUUUUCUUUGUUAAAUCUGAUCUAAUUGCCAUUGGCACAAACAUGCUCCUUUAUUUGCUGUUGUAUGUGUUUGGGCCCGUCAUUUUGAAUUUGGUUGGGAAGCUAAUAUAGUAUAAUUAGAGGUGUUAUUUUCAUAGCAGACAUUAUUAUAUAGUGGUUUUCUUCUCAAGUAUGCAUUUUAUUGUGGAAGAGAGUAUUUACUGAGAUUGAGAUGAUUGUUAUUUAUAUAUUUUUCAUAAUAUUGGUUUCUUUUGCUUUUGAAUAGAGACAAAUAGAGUUAAUUUAAAGAAGAAAGACCCAAUAUGACCCUUGUAAAAAAAAAGAGACACUUCGACUUUUAAUUUUUUAAUUUUAUGACAAUAUAACUAUUAAAUAGUAACUUUUAAUUUCUAAUGUUGUCAAUGAAUGUUAUUGUUGUUGCUAUAGAAUUUUAAUACACACUAUUUGGAUAUGAUUAGGAAAUUUAUAAACAUAGAUGAUGAGAUUAUUUCUGAGACUCCUGUUCAAGCUUCUCGUAGUGUUGAUUCUGGUAAAAAAAAUUAAUGUUUGGAGGUUUUUUAAGAAGAUUGAAAAAGACAGAGAUGGUAUUGAAAAGGCUGAAUGCAAUUUUUGUCAUCAUGAAUACAAAAUUGGAAAAAAUUCGAAAACUAAGAAUGGUUACGGGACUUCUCAUCUGAGUCAUCAUAUAGUUUCUUGUAAUUCCAUACCCCUCAGUAUUAGAUUUGAUGAUGAUAUAAAGGGUCUUCCAACCAAAAUUGAUCAGAAUGUUCAUCGAAAAAACUCGCUCAGGCUAUAGCAAAACAUGAUCUUGCGUUUAGCUUUGUUGAGUAUGAGGGUAUUAGAAAUUGGAUUAAUUACAUUAGUCCAACGAUUAUAAUGCUUUCUAGAAACACUUUAAUUUCAGAUCUUAAAUUGAUUUAUUCAACAGAGAAAGAAAAAUUGAAGCAGAAGAUGUCUAGGAUACCUAAUAGAAUUUGUUUGACAUCUGAUGUGUGGACAACAUCUACCACUGAAGGAUAUAUUUGUCUAACAGCUCAUUUUGUUGAUGAGAAUUGGUGACUAGUGAGUAAGAUUUUGAAUUUUUGUCGAAUGGUUCCUGAUAAACCCAUAUUUUAUGAUAUAUAUUGUGCUCAAUUCAAGAGAUUUAU